rnacentral:rRNA from 1 species
UACGAGGGGGGCGAGCGUUGUUCGGAAUUAUUGGGCGUAAAGGGCGCGUAGGCGGUGCGGUAAGUCACCUGUGAAACCUCUGGGCUUAACUCAGAGCCUGCAGGCGAAACUGCCGUGCUGGAGUGUGGGAGAGGUGCGUGGAAUUCCCGGUGUAGCGGUGAAAUGCGUAGAUAUCAGGAGGAACACCGGUGGCGAAGGCGCACAUCUGGCCCGAUACUGACGCUGAGGCGCGAAAGCUAGGGGAGCAAACGGG